GUACUGAGACACGGACCAGACUCCUACGGGAGGCAGCAGUGAGGAAUAUUGGACAAUGGGAGCAAUCCUGAUCCAGCCAUGCCGCGUGCAGGAAGACUGCCCUAUGGGUUGUAAACUGCUUUUAUACAGGAAGAAAAAGGUGUACGUGUACACUGUUGACGGUACUGUAAGAAUAAGGAUCGGCUAACUCCGUGCCAGCAGCCGCGGUAAUACGGAGGAUCCAAGCGUUAUCCGGAAUCAUUGGGUUUAAAGGGUCCGUAGGCGGGAUAAUAAGUCAGUGGUGAAAGUCUGCAGCUCAACUGUAGAAUUGCCAUUGAUACUGUUGUUCUUGAGUUAUUGUGAAGUGGUUAGAAUGAGUAGUGUAGCGGUGAAAUGCAUAGAUAUUACUCAGAAUACCGAUUGCGAAGGCAGAUCACUAACAAUACACUGACGCUGAUGGACGAAAGCGUAGGUAGCGAACAGGAUUAGAUACCCUGGUAGUCUACGCCGUAAACGAUGGUUACUAGCUGUUCGGGUUAAUUGAGACCUGAGUGGCUAAGCGAAAGUGAUAAGUAACCCACCUGGGGAGUACGUUCGCAAGAAUGAAACUCAAAGGAAUUGACGG
rnacentral:rRNA from 1 species